UUUGGAGUGAAAAGACGGCAUCGGAGCACACGGAUCUCACCCGUGUGGCGGGGACUCAAACGGCUUUCCAUAUUCGGCUCCCUCAGUCGACUUGCCCGUUGACGCCCCGUACGUUUGUGCGUGCAGUUGCAGAGCAGUUUGUCGCAAAAGUCGGAGAGGCUGGAAAGCAUCCGGACCUUGAGGAUCGGCCUGGAGCAGCAACUGAGAGAGCUCCACGCCGCCAAGAGUGCGCUAGAGGGUCAGGUGUUUGAAGAGAAAG